rnacentral:lncRNA from 1 species
GUCUACAUAGACGCCUUCAUACUGAACUGUGAGGCAAUUCUCUGACCCAAAGUCCUAUCGCACUGCAUCCAGUACGAGAACCACACACUACGGACUUCCUGAGUCACCCUGGGGUCUGACAGGAGCUCAACAAUACGCUUAAUAAAUCGGUCUUGACGAGCAGGGUCAAAGGACCGGAACCUCUCUCCAGCUUGUUGGAAGUUGUUUUCCUUGGGAAUAACGGCCUGCCACAAUCAUACAUUGUUGAGUCAGUGAAUUGUUAUCAAUCACUUAAAAUUCUUGAGUUUCUCAAGCUAUCAAUCUAUCAACACGCAAAGAUUGUGCUCAGUCCAUAUGUAUUAAAUAACACCUAAAUUAUUCACGCUCAGUUUUCUUUCUUGGUAUACCUAUAUAUUUAACGAUAAGAGAUGGGCAGGAAAAUUACCUUCUCUCUCACUCCUGCAAGUCUUGACUGAGAAAUUGGGACUCGUUCCGAAUGACGAACGGGAUCAAAUCGAGAAGGAAAGUAGUUCACCUAUACAUUUGAACAUAUUCACAACGUCAGCAUUCGAAGUGCAACUGUAGUAUUUGAAAUUUAGAUGAAUACUGAUACAUAUAUCAAAGCACUUCUGAGUACCCUAGCAACCGCUAGAAUCUAAGGUAAAACAUUAGACAUAUUAGAACAUACAAAGAGGGAUAAUCAGACUUUCACCUCCUCGUCACGAUGCAUGAAGUUCAUGAAUCCUUCAUGGUGAUUGUUGUGAUGAGCGCACUUCGGAGCAUUGACGGGUAACAUAAGAUAGUUAGGGCCCAAACGGUGACGUUGGGUGUCUGAGUAUGAGAAAAUACGUGUUUGGAACAUCUUGUCAUCACUGUAGUAGAUACCAGGAACAAUGACACCAGGGCAGAAAGCCAGCUGCUCAUUCUCGGCAAAGAAGUUAUCAAUGUUCCUGUUCAGGACCAUCCUUCCUACAGGCUGCACACAGAAAAGUACAAUCCUCAAUUGAGGAGUAACAUUACUCCACAAAAACACCACCAGCUAGGAUAGUCGAUGAAAUAAAUUGUAAAUAAAGUAGUCUCCACGGAUUUUUAUACUAAAGGAACUUCUCUCGACUCAGAUGUAAAGCCAGUUUCAAAUGAUUCAUGAUCGUUGAGAGUGUAAAUAUUCACAUAGAACCCUCAGUUCAUAAAUUCUAUAUAACCCAAACAAUUAUGCAUACCUGAAGAGGGAACCUAUCCUCAGGCCAGAUCUUGGUGUCAUCGAGAGGAUCAAACUCAAACUUGUUCUCGUCAGCUGGGUUCAUUGUCUGAAUCAUCAGCUUCCACUCGGGGAAGUUGCCAGCAGCAAUUGAGUCAUACAGGUCCUGAGUAGCGUGACUGUGGUUAGCACCACCGACUAGCACAGCCUCAUCGUCCAACAGAUUCUUCACACCGC